UACGAAGGUGGCAAGCGUUGUUCGGAUUUACUGGCGUAAAGGGAGCGUAGGUGGUUAGGUAAGCCCUCCGGGAAAUCUUCAGGCUUAACCUGAAAAGGUCGGGGGGACUGCCUAGCUAGAGGGCGGAGAGGAGCGCGGAAUUCCCGGUGUAGCGGUGGAAUGCGUAGAGAUCGGGAGGAAGGCCGGUGGCGAAGGCGGCGCUCUGGAACGUUCGUGACACUGAGGCUCGAAGCGUGGGAGCAACAGG
rnacentral:rRNA from 1 species